AUAAUUGUCUUUCUCAAAAAUUUGUAUUACCAAGUUUAACUUCUUGCCAAACUAGCUUUGCCCUCAUGACUAACACAUAAAGAGAAUGUGAUUUGGAAUUUUUGCUUGGCAGUAAAUCCCAUUUGAUGACACUAGCAAACUGUCGAGCAGGUUGUUUGCAUGUCCAGAUUUGGCGAGAUCUGGCUUGGUCCAAAUAUUACAUUGGGGAACUUCUUCCCGG
rnacentral:lncRNA from 1 species